AUGGCUGUUGGGCUGGAUGGUGGGCUGGCCGUUGGGCUGGAUGGUGGGAUGGAUGUUGGGCUGGCCAUUGGGAUGACCAUUGGGCUGGAUGGUGGGAUGGCUGUUGGACUGGACAGUGGGAUGGACCUUGGGAUGGCCGUUGGCCUGGAUGUUGGGCUGGACGUUGGGAUGAUCAUUGGGCUGAAUGGUGGGCUGGAUGGUGGGCUGGAUGAUGGGAUGGCCGUUGGGCUGGAUGGUGGGCUGGCCGGUGGGACGUUGGGCGGGACGGAUGUUGGGCUGGAUGGUGGGCUGGAUGAUGGGAUGGCUGUUGGGCUGGAUGGUGGGCUGGCCGUUGGGCUGGAUGGAGAGAUGGAUGUUGGGCUGGAUGGUGGGCUGGCCAUUGGGCUGGAUGGCGGGAUGGGUGUUGGGCUGGAUGGUGGGCUGGCCUCCAUCCCUCCAUCUCCAUCCCUCCAUCUCCAUCCCACCUCCAUCCCUCCAUCUCCAUCCCUCCAUCUCCAUCCCACCUCCAUCCCUCCAUCUCCAUCCCUCCAUCUCCAUCCCACCUCCAUCCCUCCAUCUCCAUCCCUCCAUCUCCAUCCCACCUCCAUCCCUCCAUCUCCAUCCCUCCGUCCCACCUCCAUCCUUCCAGCUCCAUCCCUCCAUCUCCAUCCCACCUCCAUCCCUCCAUCUCCAUCCCUCCAUCUCCAUCCCACCUCCAUCCCUCCAUCUCCAUCCCUCCAUCUCCAUCCCACCUCCAUCCCUCCAUCUCCAUCCCUCCAUCUCCAUCCCACCUCCAUCCCUCCAUCUCCAUCCCUCCAUCUCCAUCCCACCUCCAUCCCUCCAUCUCCAUCCCUCCAUCUCCAUCCCACCUCCAUCCCUCCAUCUCCAUCCCUCCAUCUCCAUCCCACCUCCAUCCCUCCAUCUCCAUCCCUCCGUCCCACCUCCAUCCUUCCAGCUCCAUCCCUCCAUCUCCAUCCCACCUCCAUCCCUCCAUCUCCAUCCCUCCAUCUCCAUCCCACCUCCAUCCCUCCAUCUCCAUCCCUCCAUCUCCAUCCCACCUCCAUCCCUCCAUCUCCAUCCCUCCAUCUCCAUCCCACCUCCAUCCCUCCAUCUCCAUCCCUCCAUCUCCAUCCCACCUCCAUCCCUCCAUCUCCAUCCCUCCAUCUCCAUCCCACCUCCAUCCCUCCAUCUCCAUCCCUCCAUCUCCAUCCCACCUCCAUCCCUCCAUCUCCAUCCCUCCGUCCCACCUCCAUCCUUCCAGCUCCAUCCCUCCAUCUCCAUCCCACCUCCAUCCCUCCAUCUCCAUCCCUCCAUCUCCAUCCCACCUCCAUCCCUCCAUCUCCAUCCCUCCAUCUCCAUCCCACCUCCAUCCCUCCAUCUCCAUCCCUCCAUCUCCAUCCCACCUCCAUCCCUCCAUCUCCAUCCCUCCAUCUCCAUCCCACCUCCAUCCCUCCAUCUCCAUCCCUCCAUCUCCAUCCCACCUCCAUCCCUCCAUCUCCAUCCCUCCAUCUCCAUCCCACCUCCAUCCCUCCAUCUCCAUCCCUCCGUCCCACCUCCAUCCUUCCAGCUCCAUCCCUCCAUCUCCAUCCCACCUCCAUCCCUCCAUCUCCAUCCCUCCAUCUCCAUCCCACCUCCAUCCCUCCAUCUCCAUCCCUCCAUCUCCAUCCCACCUCCAUCCCUCCAUCUCCAUCCCUCCAUCUCCAUCCCACCUCCAUCCCUCCAUCUCCAUCCCUCCAUCUCCAUCCCACCUCCAUCCCUCCAUCUCCAUCCCUCCAUCUCCAUCCCACCUCCAUCCCUCCAUCUCCAUCCCUCCAUCUCCAUCCCACCUCCAUCCCUCCAUCUCCAUCCCUCCGUCCCACCUCCAUCCUUCCAGCUCCAUCCCUCCAUCUCCAUCCCACCUCCAUCCCUCCAUCUCCAUCCCUCCAUCUCCAUCCCACCUCCAUCCCUCCAUCUCCAUCCCUCCAUCUCCAUCCCACCUCCAUCCCUCCAUCUCCAUCCCUCCAUCUCCAUCCCACCUCCAUCCCUCCAUCUCCAUCCCUCCAUCUCCAUCCCACCUCCAUCCCUCCAUCUCCAUCCCUCCAUCUCCAUCCCACCUCCAUCCCUCCAUCUCCAUCCCUCCAUCUCCAUCCCACCUCCAUCCCUCCAUCUCCAUCCCUCCGUCCCACCUCCAUCCUUCCAGCUCCAUCCCUCCAUCUCCAUCCCACCUCCAUCCCUCCAUCUCCAUCCCUCCAUCUCCAUCCCACCUCCAUCCCUCCAUCUCCAUCCCUCCAUCUCCAUCCCACCUCCAUCCCUCCAUCUCCAUCCCUCCAUCUCCAUCCCACCUCCAUCCCUCCAUCUCCAUCCCUCCAUCUCCAUCCCACCUCCAUCCCUCCAUCUCCAUCCCUCCAUCUCCAUCCCACCUCCAUCCCUCCAUCUCCAUCCCUCCAUCUCCAUCCCACCUCCAUCCCUCCAUCUCCAUCCCUCCGUCCCACCUCCAUCCUUCCAGCUCCAUCCCUCCAUCUCCAUCCCACCUCCAUCCCUCCAUCUCCAUCCCUCCAUCUCCAUCCCACCUCCAUCCCUCCAUCUCCAUCCCUCCAUCUCCAUCCCACCUCCAUCCCUCCAUCUCCAUCCCUCCAUCUCCAUCCCACCUCCAUCCCUCCAUCUCCAUCCCUCCAUCUCCAUCCCACCUCCAUCCCUCCAUCUCCAUCCCUCCAUCUCCAUCCCACCUCCAUCCCUCCAUCUCCAUCCCUCCAUCUCCAUCCCACCUCCAUCCCUCCAUCUCCAUCCCUCCGUCCCACCUCCAUCCUUCCAGCUCCAUCCCUCCAUCUCCAUCCCACCUCCAUCCCUCCAUCUCCAUCCCUCCAUCUCCAUCCCACCUCCAUCCCUCCAUCUCCAUCCCUCCAUCUCCAUCCCACCUCCAUCCCUCCAUCUCCAUCCCUCCAUCUCCAUCCCACCUCCAUCCCUCCAUCUCCAUCCCUCCAUCUCCAUCCCACCUCCAUCCCUCCAUCUCCAUCCCUCCAUCUCCAUCCCACCUCCAUCCCUCCAUCUCCAUCCCUCCAUCUCCAUCCCACCUCCAUCCCUCCAUCUCCAUCCCUCCGUCCCACCUCCAUCCUUCCAGCUCCAUCCCUCCAUCUCCAUCCCACCUCCAUCCCUCCAUCUCCAUCCCUCCAUCUCCAUCCCACCUCCAUCCCUCCAUCUCCAUCCCUCCAUCUCCAUCCCACCUCCAUCCCUCCAUCUCCAUCCCUCCAUCUCCAUCCCACCUCCAUCCCUCCAUCUCCAUCCCUCCAUCUCCAUCCCACCUCCAUCCCUCCAUCUCCAUCCCUCCAUCUCCAUCCCACCUCCAUCCCUCCAUCUCCAUCCCUCCAUCUCCAUCCCACCUCCAUCCCUCCAUCUCCAUCCCUCCGUCCCACCUCCAUCCUUCCAGCUCCAUCCCUCCAUCUCCAUCCCACCUCCAUCCCUCCAUCUCCAUCCCUCCAUCUCCAUCCCACCUCCAUCCCUCCAUCUCCAUCCCUCCAUCUCCAUCCCACCUCCAUCCCUCCAUCUCCAUCCCUCCAUCUCCAUCCCACCUCCAUCCCUCCAUCUCCAUCCCUCCAUCUCCAUCCCACCUCCAUCCCUCCAUCUCCAUCCCUCCAUCUCCAUCCCACCUCCAUCCCUCCAUCUCCAUCCCUCCAUCUCCAUCCCACCUCCAUCCCUCCAUCUCCAUCCCUCCGUCCCACCUCCAUCCUUCCAGCUCCAUCCCUCCAUCUCCAUCCCACCUCCAUCCCUCCAUCUCCAUCCCUCCAUCUCCAUCCCACCUCCAUCCCUCCGUCUCCAUCCCACCACCCUCCAUCUCACCAUCCCUCCAUCCCACCACCCUCCAUCUCCUUCCUCCAUCCCAUCAUCUCCACCCCAGCACCCACCAUCCCUCCGUCGCCUCCCUCUGUCCCUCCAUCCCUCCAUCUCCACCCCAUCUCCACCCAUCCCACCAUCUCCACCCCAUCUCCACCCAUCCACCCACCAUCCCUCCAUCACCACCCCAGCACCCUCCAUUUCUAUACCCCAGCACCCUCCAUCCUGCCACCCUCUAUCCCACCAUCUCCAUCCCACCAUCUCCAUCCCUCCAUCUCCAUCCCACCACCCUCCAUCCUGCCACCCUCCCUCCAUCACCACCCCAGCACCCUCCAUUUCUAUACCCCAGCACCCUCCAUCCCGCCACCCUCUAUCCCACCAUCUCCAUCCCACAUCUCCAUCCCUCCAUCUCCAUCCCACCACCCUCCAUCCCGCCACCCUCCAUCCCAUCUCCAUCCCUCCUCCAUCCCACCACCCUCCAUCCCUCCAUCUCCAUCCCACCACCCUCCAUCCCGGGGGGCUGUUGUGUGUCCCACGUGUGCGCGCGGGCCAUCACGGUGUGCAUGUGUGUGUGUGGGGGGGAGGUCCUGGGUGUCACAGGCGUGUGACACAUGGAUGCAGGACAUGGUGGGUGGGGGUUGCUCGGGACCCUUGUGUCCACCUGUAGCCCUGUUUGGCUGUACCCAGGACCUCUGUGGUCGCCUGUAUCUCUGUCUGGCUGCACCCCAGACCCCUGCACCCACCUGUAGUGCCGUCCAGCUGUACCAAGGGCCUCCACGUCUGCCUGUAGCCCCCUCCACUUGCCCUCGGGACCCUUGCGUCCACCUGUAG
rnacentral:lncRNA from 1 species